rnacentral:lncRNA from 1 species
AUGCCGCAAAGGCCCGCCCCUCACGCGGAGCCAAUCGGAACUCGAGGUGGGAGUGCUGGGUCUUCCAGGAGCGCGCUUGCGUGUGAGGGUGACUCCAGGCGGCCUGCUGGUAGGUCAUGUCCGCAGGCUUCAAUCCAGCGGCCGCCACCCAUAAGCUACCAGGAAAAGCUUUACCUCCACCUGGACUACUAUACCUGCCUGACUUCCCGGCCUGCGGGGUCCGCGCAGCAAAGACUUGACGCUACUGGAGCAGGCGCUGUGCACCUACUGGCUGGCGCCUGGUGGGUACCAGCGCAAGGUCGCCCAGAAGCUCCUCAGUGGCCGCCGCAAGUGCCAGCCAGCACCAGCUGCAGCCCCGGCGGCGAACUCGCCUCAGCUGAGCCUAGAUGCCAGUGUUCUCUUCUUUUCUCAUAUGGGAAAAUUCCUUUGAAACUCAUUUGAAGCAUGGACAAAAACUCCACAGCUGUAUUCCUCAGGAUCACUUUGCAGAAUCUUCAAGACUCAGAGAGGAAGCUUCAAUUCAACCUUUCAGGGAAGGCAUUCCAGCUCACAUGAUCUCAUCAACCAAGAUAAUGUUGGUGGCAAUCACAGCGCUGAAAGGGGGACAAAAAUUAGAUGGCUCAGAUGAUUAAAAGCCCUGAUUCGACUUAACUUCCCACUUCCAACUAAGCUGCACACAUUACAUCCAAUUAAAUUUCCCCCUUCCCCUCUACACAUCAGAGGGUUAGUUUGGUUUCCGUACUUUCAGCUGAUUACAUUGUUCAUGGGGGAAAAGAAGCAACUAAACAGGACACACCAAAUGAAAAGAGUAUGAUGAUUCUCUAACAGUUUACAGUUUUCAGUUUCCCAAACUUACCAGGAGUGGAUGAAGCUGUUUCUUUACACAAUUGUUAUCCCGUAAUGCCUACUUCUGCUGCUACCACUGGCUCACCUAGAAGGCAACCAAACCUUAAAAUAAGUUCAGUCAAUAAGAACCAACGAUAUUGUGUGAUUGUGUGUGGCUUUGCUUAUCACUGAUGACUCAAUUCCGCCAGUAUUAACUAUGAGAAUUCAAAGCUUCUCUGUUAGCCCAGUUUUCUACUCUGAACCAUGAACCCUGUCCACAAUAUUUGAGGAGUGUCUGACUUCUACUUAGAAGACCUGAACAUCCCUCUCUUCUGGAUACAUUUCUGUUUACCCAUAGUAAAGUAUAGUACUGCGACUAUAAUCUGGCUAAAAUGGACUGAUCAUUUCCCUCAUUCCAGAAACCUUUUUUAUUAAAUAAUAAUGUUGACAACAAUAGGUCUUGCACAUACUGCAUGGACGUACCUGUUAUCUGUCUUCUACUUUGUACUUAAUUUGUGUUGUUUUGUUACAGGGGACUAAGAUCAGGGCUGUCACCAUUUCAUUAGAUUUCUAGAUCCCCUCUUCUGGCACUAUUUGCUAUCUUUAGCUGUUUUUCACUCAUGAAUAUAAUCACCCAAUCUAUUUUCUUAUCAUAGUACUUGAUUAAAAACUGAGUAAGGUGGCCGGGUGCGGUGGCUCACACCUGUAAUCCCAGCACUUUGGGAAGCCGAGGCGGGCAGAUCAUGAGGUCAGGAGAUCGAGACCAUCCUGGCUAACACAGUGAAACCCCAUCUCAACUAAAAAUACAAAAAAUUAGCCGGUGUGGUGGCAGGCGCCUGUAGUCCCAGCUACUUGGGAGGCUGAGGCAGGAGAAUGGCAUGAACCCGGAAGGCGGCACUUGCAAGUGAGCCGAGAUCGCGCCACUGCACUCCAGCCUGGGGGACACAGCAAGACUCCGUCUCAAAAAGAGAAAAACAAAAAACAGACAAACAAAAAAAACCCACUGAGUAAGGCAAAUGCAAUAUGAAAAUCCUUCAACAGUAAUCUGAACCAUCUACCACCACUCAACAUCUCCAACCAAAUUAUCCCAAAACUACUCAGUCUACUCCCUUAUUAUAUCUAAUCAUUCCAUUUUUUAUUAAUAUCCCAUUUUAUCCCAUUUUUAGAACCUAGAGUUCCCUAAUAGUACUAGUAUCAAAUUGAAAAGCAAAAGAUUUUUUUCUGGUCCCCAUUUUUAAUCUUUCCCGGCUUCGACUCUCAUGUAUUACAUCUAGUUUUCCCUCUACAAAAAGUUGCAUUCUCUUACCUGUGUUCAGGUUCACACCCACGAGCUGAACUGAUUCUGAAUGUUCUUCUUAAAUUUUAACUAAUGUUUCCUGAAGGUCAGAACCAGAAUUCUGAGCAAGAACCUAAAGUAAACAAAUUUAAUUCUUGAGAAAACAGGAAGUAAGAAUUGAUAGUUAAAAAAAAAAAAAAAGACAUGGCUGGGCACGGUGGCUCACGCCCGUAAUCCCAGCACUUUGGGAGGCCCAGGCGGGUGGAUCGUAAGGUCAAGAGAUUGAGACUAUGCUGGCCAACAUGGUGAAACCCCGUCUCUACUAAAAAUACAAAAAUCAGCUGGGCAUUGUGGCACGUACCUGUAGUCCCAGCUAGUCAGGAGGCUGAGGCAGGAGAAUCGCUUGAACCCGGGAGGUAGAGGUUGCCAUGAGCCGAGAUCACACCACUGCACUCCAGCCUGGGCGACAGAGUGAGACUCUUGUUUCAAAAAAAAAAAAAAAAAAAAGUGCAAAAGAAAUCUCAGCUGGAUGCAGUGGCUCAUGCCUGUAAUCCCAGCACUUUGGGAGGCCAAGGCAGGUGGAUCACCUGAGGUCAGGAGUUUGAGACCAUUCUAGCCAACAUGGUGAAACCUCAUCUCUACUAAAAAUACAAAAAAACCCAAGCCGGGUGUGGUGGCAGGUGUCUGUAAUUAUAGCUACUACAGCUACUAGGGAGGCUGAGGUUGCAGUGGGCCGAGAUCACACCACUACGCUCCAGCCUGGACAACAAAAGCAAAACUCACAAAGUUCUCAAGAAACAACAACAAAAGAAACACAAAAAAUCUAUUGCAUGAAGACAGAACAUUUAUGUUCCCUUCAGAGAAUAACCAGACACAAGUUACUGAUCAACUCUCUCAUCUACCCCAAAGCAAGCAGCAAUACACCAGUCAUAAACUAUACUUCAAAAUUAGUAUAUAAUAGAAAACAAUGAUAUCAGUUUAACUAAAACCAAAACAAAAAGCAAGUUUGUACUCAAGUAUAACCCCUAAUACUGCAAAUAUUAAACUACAGGUUCUCUCUUGCCAUCUGAAAUGUCAGCUAUUCAGGCCUCCCAGAGAAACCAAAUACAUCUGGAUGAUGAGGGAUACCUGUUCUAGAGUCAGGAAGAAAACUGAUCAAACUUGCUUAUCCAAAAUCCACAUUAUCAAUAAAGCCUACAUUAUCAAAAAGGUUUGAUGAGCU